rnacentral:rRNA from 1 species
UAGGGAAUCUUCCGCAAUGGGCGAAAGCCUGACGGAGCAACGCCGCGUGAGUGAUGAAGGUCUUCGGAUCGUAAAACUCUGUUAUUAGGGAAGAACAAAUGUGUAAGUAACUAUGCACGUCUUGACGGUACCUAAUCAGAAAGCCACGGCUAACUACGUGCCAGCAGCCGCGGUAAUACGUAGGUGGCAAGCGUUAUCCGGAAUUAUUGGGCGUAAAGCGCGCGUAGGCGGUUUUUUAAGUCUGAUGUGAAAGCCCACGGCUCAACCGUGGAGGGUCAUUGGAAACUGGAAAACUUGAAUGCAGAAGAGGAAAGUGGAAUUCCAUGUGUAGCGGUGAAAUGCGCAGAGAUAUGGAGGAACACCAGUGGCGGAGGCGACUUUCUGGUCUGUAACUGACGCUGAUGUGCGAAAGCGUGGAGAUCAAACAGG